rnacentral:lncRNA from 1 species
CUUUUUUGUCUAAGGUUCCACAAAUGAAGUGUAUCAUCUGAACUUGCACUGACCAAGGCACCCUAGAACAAAAAGAAGAUAAACACAGGAAACUAUCAACAGAGUAAACAGACAAUCUACAGAAUGAGAGAAAAUAUUUGCAAGCUAUGCAUCUGACAAAGGUCUAAUAUCCAGACUACAAAAGCUUAAAAACAAAUUAAAAAGCAAAAAACAAACAACCCCACUAAAAAUUGGGCAAAGGACAUGAACAGAUGCUACUCAAAAGAAGACAUACACAUGGCCAACAAGCGUAUGAAAAAAUGUUCAAUCAUUAGAGAAAUGCACAUUAAAAUCACAAUAAAAUAUAUCAUACCAGUCAGAAUGGCUAUUGAAAAGUCAAAAAAUAACAGAUAUUGGCACAGUUAUGGAGAAAAGGGAAUGCUUAUUCACUGCUGAUGGCAAUGUAAAUUAGUUCCACUCCUGUGGAAAUCAGUUUGGAGAAUUCUCAAAGAACUUAAAACAGAACUAUCAUUCAACUAAACAAUCCCACUAGUGGGUAUAUACCCAAGACAAUAUAAAUCAUUCUACCAUAAAGACACAUGCAUGCAUAUGUUCAGUGAAGCACUAUUCACAAUAGGAAAGACAUGGAAUCAACCUAAAUGUCUAUCAGUGGUGAAUGGGAUAAAGGAAGUGUGAUACAUAUACACCAUGGAAAAUUAUGCAGCCAUAAAAAAAAUCAUUUCCUUUGCAGUAACAUGGAUGGAGCUAGAGGCCAUUAUACUAAGCAUGUCAACACAGGAACAGAAAACCAAUACUGCAUGUUCUCACUUACAUAAGUGGGAGCUGAACAUUGAGUACACAUGGAUAAAAAUGAUGAAACACCAGUGCCUACUUCAGGGUGGUCAGUGAAAGGAGGAUAAGGAUUGAAAAACUAUUGACUACUAUGCUCAUUACCUGAGUGAUGAUAUAAUCUGUAGACCAAAUCCCCAUGACAUGCAAUUUACCCAUGUAACAAACCUGAACAUGUACCCCCCUGAACCUAGAAUAAAAGUUGGAAAGCAAGAAAAG